UACGGUUACCUUGUUACGACUUAGCCCCAGUCACUGGUUUUACCUUAAACAGCUUCCUCCUUGCGGUUGGAACACUGUCUUUGGGUACCCCCAGCUUCCAUGGCUUGACGGGCGGUGUGUACAAGGCCCGGGAACGUAUUCACCGCGCCAUGCUGAUGCGCGAUUACUAGCAAUUCCAACUUCAUGGAGUCGAGUUUCAGACUCCAAUCCGAACUGGGGAUGCCUUUAUGGGAUUGGCUCCACCUUGCGGCUUGGCAACCCAUUGUAGCAUCCAUUGUAGCACGUGUGUAGCCCUAGGCGUAAGGGCCAUGCGGACUUGACGUCAUCCCCACCUUCCUCACUACUUGCGUAGGCAGUCCCAUUAGAGUGCUCAGCAUUACCUGAUGGCAACUAAUGGUAGGGGUUGCGCUCGUUGCGGGACUUAACCCAACACCUCACGGCACGAGCUGACGACAGCCAUGCAGCACCUGUACAAGAGCCAUUGCUGGAGGGGUACUUUCAUACCCUGUCUCUUGCGUUUCAAGCCUAGGUAAGGUUCUUCGCGUUGCAUCGAAUUAAACCACAUGCUCCACUGCUUGUGCGGGCCCCCGUCAAUUCCUUUGAGUUUCAACCUUGCGAUCGUACUCCCCAGGUGGAAUACUUAAUGCGUUAGCUUCGACGCUGGGCAUAAAAGCCCAACUUCUAGUAUUCAUAGUUUACAGCGUGGACUACCAGGGUAUCUAAUCCUGUUUGCUACCCACGCUUUCGCGCCUCAGCGUCAGUUCUAGACCAAGAAGCCGCCUUCGCAACUGGUGUUCUUCCAGAUAUCUACGUAUUUCACCACUACACCUGGAAUUCCGCUUCUCUCUUCUAGACUCAAGGCUUUGCAGUAUCAAAGGCAGUUCUGCAGUUUAAGCUGCAGGGUUUCACCUCUGACUGACAAGUCCGCCUACGCGCCCUUUAAACCCAAUAAAUCCGGAUAACGCUUGGAUCCUCCGUAUUACCGCGGCUGCUGGCACGGAGUUAGCCGAUCCUUAUUCGUAAGGUACAUACAAUACAGCACACGUGCCGCUUUUUAUUCCCUUACAAAAGAAGUUUACAAUCCAUAGAACCUUCUCCCUUCACGCGACUUGGCUGGUUCAGGCUCGCGCCCAUUGACCAAUAUUCCUCACUGCUGCCUCCCGUAGGAGUCUGGUCCGUGUCUCAGUACCAGUGUGGGGGACCUUCCUCUCAGAACCCCUAAUGAUCGUUGCCUUGGUGAGCCGUUACCUCACCAACUAGCUAAUCAUACGCAUGCCCAUCUGUAAGCUAUAAAUAUUUAACUUCAAAACCAUGCAGUUUUGAAGUGUUAUGCGGUGUUAGUCCGAAUUUCUCCGGGUUAUUCCCCGCUUACAGGUAGGUUGCAUACGUGUUACUCACCCGUGCGCCGGUCGCCACCAUAGUAUUGCUACCAUUGUGCUGCCCCUCGACUUGCAUGUGUUAGGCCUGUCGCUAGCGUUCAUCCUGAGCCAGGAUCAAACUCU
rnacentral:rRNA from 1 species